rnacentral:rRNA from 1 species
CCUACGGGAGGCAGCAGUGGGGAAUAUUGGACAAUGGGCGCAAGCCUGAUCCAGCCAUGCCGCGUGAGUGAUGAAGGCCUUAGGGUUGUAAAGCUCUUUCAGUAGGGACGAUAAUGACGGUACCUACAGAAGAAGCCCCGGCUAACUUCGUGCCAGCAGCCGCGGUAAUACGAAGGGGGCUAGCGUUGUUCGGAUUUACUGGGCGUAAAGCGCACGUAGGCGGAUCGUUAAGUCGGGGGUGAAAUCCUGGAGCUCAACUCCAGAACUGCCUUCGAUACUGGCGAUCUUGAGUCCGGAAGAGGUGAGUGGAACUCCUAGUGUAGAGGUGGAAUUCGUAGAUAUUAGGAAGAACACCAGUGGCGAAGGCGGCUCACUGGUCCGGUACUGACGCUGAGGUGCGAAAGCGUGGGGAGCAAACAGGAUUAGGAUACCCUGGUAGUCCACGCCGUAAACUAUGAGAGCUAGCCGUUGGGAGAUUUAUCUCUCAGUGGCGCAGCUAACGCAUUAAGCUCUCCGCCUGGGGAUACGGUCGCAGNUAAAACUCAAAGGAAUUGAGGCUGAGAGNGCGACGACGACGACGAGGGAGAGG